rnacentral:lncRNA from 1 species
AACGAAUAUAUUUACGCAGUGUCUGUGUUUGAAAUCAGUGUUAAUAAGGAUUAAGAAGUGGCGGAGGUGGAGGGGCGAACUUUCGUUUUAUGUACAUGUAAUGCAUAAAACAGCGAAAUGAUAAGAUAACAUGCCAAGAUCAUUCCUCAAUACAAACUCCGGCUUCGGUUCGUAUUAAGACCAUCCAUACAUCAAGUUUGUGAAAAUGAUGCCUUGUAAACCCUAUCUACCUAUCUACCUACCUAUCUAUCUACCUACCUAUCUAAUCUAUCUAUCUAUCUGUUUACUUGUCUACCUACCCCCUACUUACCUACCUAUCCGUCUGUCUGUUAACUCGUCUACCUGCCUACCUACCUAUCUAUCUAUCUAUCUAUCUAUCUACUCACAUCUAUCUAUCUAUCUAUCUAUCUAUCUAUCUAUCUAUCUAUCUACUCACAUAUCUAUCUGCCUGUCUGUCUUUCUCUUUCUAUCCAUCCAUCUCUCUCUCUCUAUCUGUCUCUCUUUCUCUCUGCCUCACUCACUACCUGUCUGUCUCUCUCCUAUCAAUUGAAAAGAGAAAAGAGUGUCUUCAGUCCUAUGCAUGGUUGCGAUAUUUUCCCUCGUUGAAGUUGCCAUAUUUUCCUUCAUUUGUGAUCACGUAACUUCACAACUUUGGGAAUUCACAAAACGAUGUCUGCCGUUCACCGUGUGAUGGUUCGACAGUUGCUUUCUUUUUUCUCUAACUUGUUUCAGUCAUUCGACUGCGGUCAUGCUGGAGCACCGCCUUGAAAUGACUAGUCAAACAAAUCGACCCACUAGCAUAGCUAGGGUGGGGCCGGUAGAGACGGUCCCACCCGGACGACUCUUUUAAUGGGGCACCACUUUUGGGCCUGCUGUAGAUAACAUGUACUUUUUUUGUAGGAUUGGGGGUGUCGAACGGAAGGGCCGCCCCGGGCGUCACACAUCUGGCUACGCUAGUGAAUCGACCCCAGCACUUAUUAAUUUUUUAAAAAGUCUGAUACUUACUCUAUCGGUUUGUUUUGCCGAUCGGCAAAGUUACAGCGGGACGGAAACAAACCAACACCUGUUGUCACAUGUCGAAGGGAGACUCCCAAACACACACACACAUGCAUACAUACAUGCAUACAUACAUGCAUGCAUACAUACAUACAUACAUACAUGCAUGCAUACAUACGUAUUGUACAUACAUACACUCAUACAUACAUACAUACAUACACACACAUACACACAUACAUACACUCCCAAAGCACUUCAACUUUUGGUCCGCAGACGACUCCCCCUCUCUCUCUCUCUACACCAGACACUAGUCUGAUUUAUAUAUAUAAUCUACUAGCAGUAUCGCCCGGCGUUGCUCGGGUUUGUAAGGGAAAUAACUAUAAAGCAUUUUUAGAGAGUUAUAGCCAAAAAAUAGAAAAAAAAUGGGGAAAAAAAUGAUGGUAAAUUUUUUUGAUAGUUAAAAAGGUCGAGUUGCGUCCCCUAGACCAUCGGUGGUUUGUGUUUCUGAGUGUCGACCCCAUGUCGAAUUUAUCGAUCUUUUUCAGAACUGGGGGAACUUUUCAAAAUUUUCGCUGCGUUAGUUUUGAAUUAUGACAUUGGGCUAUGUGUGUGUCAAGUUUCAUCAGAAUCGGUUGAAAGCCGUGGUCAGGAUGAGGGUACAAGCAAACAGACACACAGAAACACACACAGACAAACUGCCGUUUAUAUAGAGAGAGAUACUGUAAUAAGAGCUGCAUCCGUCUGUCUGUCCGCCACACUUUUUUCAGUAUUAAGACAGAAAGAAAUUCAAUCGCAUAGGAAGAAAUUCAAGAAUGCUAUCACAUAUACUAAGAUUAAAUAAUUCUGUUUAAAUGGAAGAGAAAGAGUGAGAGAGAGGGGGAGUAAGAGAGAGAGUGGUGACUGAAAGGAAGAGAGGAAAAAUAUAUUUCUUUAUUGCCCACAAGGGGCUAAACAUACAAGGGACAAACAAGGACAGACAAACGGAUUAAGUCGAUUACAUCGACCCCAGUGCGAAACUGGUACUUAAUUUAUCGACCCCGAAAGGAUGAAAGGCAAAGUCGACGUUGGUGGAAUUUGAACUCAGAACGUAUUGGCAGACGAAAUACCUAUUUGUUUACUACCCACAAGGGGCUAAACAUACAGGGGACAAACAAGGACAGACAAACGGAUCAAGUCGAUUACAUCAACCCCAGUGCGAAACUGGUACUUAAUUUAUCGACCCCGAAAGGAUGAAAGGCAAAGUCGACAUCGGUGGAAUUUGAACUCAGAACGUAACGGCAGACAAAAUACCUAUUUCUUUACUACCCACAAAGAGCCAAACACAGAGAGGACAAACAAGGACAGACAAACGGAUCAAGUCUAUUACAUCGACCCCAGUGUGAAACUGGUACUUAAUUUAUCGACACCGAAAGGAUGAAAGGCAAAAUCAACCUCGGUGGAAUUUGAACUCAGAACGUAACUGCAAACGAAAUACGGCUACGCAUUUCACCCGGCGUGCUAACGUUUCUACCAGAUCUGGGGACUGUGGUGACCAGAUAAGAUUAGCAACUUCACUAGAAUGUUCCUUGUGCCAUUCAGUAACAACUUUAGCUGUGUAAAUUGGUACAUUAUCAUCCUGAAAGAUUGUGUUUCCCUCCAGAAACAGUUCUGCAACUAUAGGAUGAUUUUGAUCAGAUAAAAUGCUUAAAUAGUCUUAACUAUUAAUUCUGCCAUGAAGGGAAACCAUUGGGCCGGCGGAUUUCCAAGAUAUAGCACCCCCACCUCCGAUCAUCACAGAUCCUCCUCCAUGUUUAGCGGAUGGAAGAAGGCGGCCUGGAUCAAAUGUUUCUUUUGGUUGUCUCCACACGUAUACUCGGCCUCUGGUUGGAAAUAAGAUAAAAAAUGACUUGUCGGAGAAAAUAACAUUCUUCCACUGCUCUAGGGACCAAUUUUGUAGGUUUUACUCCACUCUAAAUGCUUUGCAACGUUUGUUUUUGAAAGUAGUGGUUUUCUGAUUGCAGUCUUCCCAUGAAAUCCUGCUUUGUGCAGCUCCUGGCAAAGUGAACAGCUUUUGUGGAAACUGGGUUCUUGAGGUGGUCAUUAAGCUCUACAGUAAUUUGGGGAGCUGCACUUUUCUGAUCCUUUCUAACAAUUUGUGUAAGAGUCCGACAGUUCCUAUCUGAAAGUUUUGGUUUUCUUCAGAAGUUCUCUUUCAACGAGGAGAUUUUUUCCCUCUUUCUCAAAGGCUGUCGUUACUUUCGCGACAGUACGUCUUGAUGCACCAAACAUUUCAGCUGAUUUCGUUAAGCUAACGCCUGCCAUACGAGCACCAACAAUUUGACCUCUUUGAAAGUCCGAUAGAUCUGUCAUUUUAAUGAAUUUUAAUUACCUUUUUCUGAUGAUAUCUGAAAAGAACCAGCAAUUUUAACAAAACAUAAAACUAAACAAGCUUUUCAUGGUUUUAUAGAUAUUUCAAAAUUAUGAUGCUAUGAUGAUAGGUGUUUACAUUAUUUUAUCCAACCCCUGUAGGUUGAAUCAACAAAAGUAUUCAAUCAAGUGAGAGAUAAGCACCAACUUAAUGUACAAUUAUGAGAGAGCUACUAAUAGUUUCAUACUUAAUGAUACUUUAAAUUGGCAGAUUUAUAAAAGACAUCCUGUAUCUCCAAGCAAUCUUUGAGGUUUAGUUCAUACAUUUGAUGUAUUUAAAAACCAGGAUGCUGGACUCCUAGAUAUUUAUAUCUCUGGUAAUUGAACACCUUCACUGCUGACUAUCCCGUUUUGUAUUACUAAUAUUGUGCACUUAUGCAAGAUUUCAUACCUAUAUCUUUGCUGAAGAAUCUUACAGUUAGUAUUAAAGAAUUUUUCUCUUUUUUUCUAUUCUUACUAAAAAGCUUCAGAUCAUCCAUGGAGAGUAAAUGGUUAAUUCUUCCUUUAAAAUCUCUAAACUGAAACCCUACCUUUGCUUUUCUUAAUACUAAACUGAGGGGGAUUAAGCAUAAUGCAAAUAUUAAAAAAGAUAACAAGUCUUCUUGGAAAAACCCUCUCUUGAUGUUAACUUUCCCUACAGCUGUAUCCUGUCAUUAGCACCAUUAAAGAUAUUGGUAGUACUAUAAAUAUUACUUCAGCUGUAUCCAUUAUUUAAUUUCAUAAUUAUUGUAAAUGUAGUCAUUACAUGACACAACUGGCAAAAGGUGAUUAAGUGAGCUAAUUGAAUGCGAACAUUUUGAGACACUGUUAUCCACAUUAUUACACAUACACAUCCAGCCCAGAUUCACUGUGUUAGAACUCGGAUUACAAUAAGAAAUGCUGUGGUUAGCUUCAUCUUUCAUGAGUGAAUUUCUCAGUUUGCCAUUAUCGAUAGUAGUUAUGCAAUCAGCAACAUUCAUGGUAGUAGAAUAUGAAAAUUUAAUGAUGUGCUUGUUAAAUAUCUUCUUAUAUUUACUUGAAGGUGGAAGUGUCUUUCCAGGGCUGUAAAAAAUAUGACAAGUAAUCUUUGUCUUUACAUUUACAGUGCAAGGUGGAUUAUAUCAGCUGAUAUUAUUUUUAUGUAAUAAUUUACCAUUAUACUUACUAUAUUAUCUCCUGGAUUCAUUGCUAUCACUAUGAGUGUUUACUGUUGAAGUGAUAUCUGGAGGAAUAGGUUGGUUCUUAAACACAAAAGGAUUUCUACCUACUGGAAGUACACUUAAUACAGGUAAUGUCUUUUCUUAUAUUUCUGUUGUAUCUUAGCGAGAUGUGUCAUUAUUUCUGAGUUAUUAGGAUUAUUAUUCAUACUAUGUAUGCGCAAGUGUGUGUGUGUAUUUGUCGGCCAGUACUGCUUGACAACUGGUGUGUUUACAUCCCUGUAACUUAGCGGUUUGGCAAAAGAGACCAAAAAGAAUUAGUAUGAGGUUUAAAAAGAAAUGAGUACUAGGGUUGAUACAGUUGACAAAAAAUUCUUUAAGGUGGUCUACCAGCAUGGCUGAAAUAAAUUAAGAAAAUUUUAAAAAAUCACAUUCUCUUGGUCUUUCCACAUUGUUAAUCUGCUGUCUUUUGUCUUCAGUUUCAGAUCUCGCACAAGUGAUUAUCCAGGACUCAUAAAGCCACAGUUUAACUCAGUUUUCAUGUUGUAUAAGUGAGUUUGAUUAUAACACACCCCACUGGAUGGGAUGCCAAUCACUUGUAGGGUCAACUUCCCAGCUGAGUGAAGAUGAGAAAUUUGAAAUAAAAUGCUGUGCUCAGGAACAGAAUGAAUCACCCGGUCCAAGAACUGAAACCAUGGUCUUGUGAUUGAGAGUGCAACACCCUAACCACUAGGCCAUGCAUCUUACUGCUUUAUUUCUGUCCUUGCCUAGAUUACAACUUAUAGAAAUACAGAAAGACAAAGAAAGGUAAAAUACAUACAAGUUAUUGAUAUGGCAACCCCGUAUCGACUAGAGGCCAUUCAUUCCUCAAGACAGCAACACGCUGGCAGGAACUUUAUUGGACGACAUGACGAGAGGGAAAAACUGAAAAACUUGAUUAAGGAUGAAAAUACUCAAAUAAUACAAAUCUUUGGCCUACCAUAUGUUGGUAAAACAAGUCUCAUCAAAACUGUAAGAUUUUUUCUUUAAGAAUUUCAUAUAUAUAUAAAAAUACAGUGUACAUUUAAACACGUAAGAGAUGGCCAUAAUAGAACAUUUGACUCGCUAGAAAGAGUAGUGAAAACAGUUGAACGUAAAAUGGCCCAAAGUAUCUUGUCCAACACUUCAUAAUUUUUGCUAUAACACUAUCCAUUGAUAUACACAUAGACAGAAUUACAACUAUUUGUGGUUUGUAGUUUAACUACUCUUUCUAGCAAGUCAGAUGUCCUAUUAUGGUAAUCUCUUAUGUGUUUAAAUAUACACUGUAUUUUUAUAUGAAUAAUAUAUAGUCUAUUGACUAAAUGUUCCUUCUCUCUAGACCACUGGUAGCAAAGAAUUUUUCUAAAAUUUUUUUGCUACCCUAAGAUUUAUUAAUAUAUAUAUAUAUAUAUAUAUAUAUAUAUAUAUAUAUACACACACACACACACACACACACACACACACACACACACACACACACACACACACACACACACACACACACACACACACACACACACACACACACACACACAUAUAUAUAUAUAUAUAUAUAUUUAUAUAUAUAAAAUAUUAGGAAAAAAACCACCUUUUAUCAAUUCAAAAGGAAUAAUUAAAUUACACCAUCUAGAAAAUUAUAUAUAAUAGAAAAGUUAAAAUUAAAAUAACAAUAAAAAGUAAAGAUUAAGUAAAUUACAAAAAUAAUAAAAAUGUAUAUAAUAUUAUUUUAUUAUUUUUGUAAUUUACUUUUUAUUUUAAUUUUAACUUUUCUAUUAUAUGUAAUUUUCUAGAUGGUGUAAUUUAAUUAUUCAUUUUGAAUUGAUAAAAGGUGUUUUUUUUUCUAAUAUUUUAUAUAUAUAUAUUAUAUUGUGUGGAAUUUGAUUUAGUAUUUCUAAAUUGAAUUCUUUUUCCUUGUAAGUUUGGAUUUUAUUCCCUCAAAUAAUAAUUAUAUAUAUAUAUAUAUAUAUAUAUAUAUAUAUAUAUAUAUAUAUCUUAUAAUUAAGGGCUAAAGAAGGUUAUUCUAAAGCCAAUACCUUCUUUAGCCCUUAAUUAUAAGAUGUUUAUACUUCAACCGUAAAGGUUUUUUUAAUAUACUGCCACGCUUUUUGAUGGAAUCCUUUUCUGUAGAGAAAGGGACUUCAUCCUAUAUUGUUAUACAUAUAUAUAUAUAUAUAUAUAUAUAUAUAUAUAUAUAUAUAUAUAUAUAUCAGGGUGUGGUGAAUAAAUUGUCAUCUAAAUUAUGCAAAAAUGAAAAUAACACUAACAUCUCAUUUUAAUAGAUAUAUUUACCAAAAUUGCAUAAAAAUAUCUUGAAAUACUAAAGAGUAAAUUUAUUCAGUAAAAUCACCAUUCACUUUGACAGCCUCCAGAUGAUUUCAGAAUCUCCUGCAACUCUUCUGGACAGUCUCCUUGUUUAAGUUGGUGAAUGCUGCCAUAAUCCUUGCCUUCAGUUCAUCUUUGGUGUUACAAGGAGUUUUGUCGAUCUCUCACUCAACUGUGCCCCACCCAUAAUAAUCGAGGGUGUUGCAGUUUGAGUAGUUUGGUGGCCAGAUGUUAGGGGUGAUAUGGUUGCAGAAAUUGUCUGACAGCCAUGACUGGGUUCUCCUGCUUGUGGGACAUGGCACAGAGUCCUGUUGCCAGACAUAGGAUCUUCGAGUAGCCACCAUCUUGACCCAAGGCAGCAUUACUUCCUCCAGGAACUUGAUGUGAGCCUCUUAUCAAUGAAUGGAAUUUUUAUCAGUUGUUUGGCAGAAUGGGCAAAGCGACAGUGAAAUUAAAUGGAGAGAUAGGAAGAUAACAUUGUGUAGCACGAUUUUUGCCCCUGGGUAGCAAUUGUUAUUUCCUAUUUGCUUACCCCUAGAAAGUAUGAAAAAUGGCUACUAUUCCCUUCAAACUUUGCUUUUGUUGCAUUUUGUCAGACCCUAAAGAAUCCCCCUCAACACAUGGCUAUGAUGCUACCCUGCUACUCCUGCCCAUUGUGUAACAUAAUUUUUGUCCUGGGGUAACAACUGUUAUUUGGUAUUUCCUAUCGCUAGAAAGUAUGAAAAAUAUUUCCUAAUAUUUCCUUCAAACUUUGCUUUUGCUGCAUUUAGUCAGACCCUAAAGAAUCCCCCUCAACACAUGGCUAUGAUGCUCCCCUGCUACUUCUCACAUGCUCAAGUGGUUAAGGUCAAGAAAGUUUGUGCUAUUGAGCAGAAUAUAUUUUUCUAUAAUGAUAUUUCUGCUUGAGCAACUCAGUGCUGAAUCUGUCUGAAAUGUAAUGGAAAAUAGGUCAGUUUCAAAACAAUGAUGUCCAUAUGGAAAAAAGGAAAGUAUGAAGGGAAUAGCAGUCAUUUCCUUUGUUUUCUAGACAGAAGCAAAUAGGAAAUGACACUCUCUGACCAAAGACAAAAAAAAAAAUUUUAAUUUUGUUACGCAGUAUAAUUAGUGAAAGGGAAUGAGACAAACUGAGAGACAAAUAAAUUGAUAAGUGAAUCUAUGGAAACCUUUGAACUUGUUCUAAUGUUAUGUUUCUAAUAUGAUAGGUCUGUGAAGAAUUGAAGGAUGAAAUCAACCCCGAAAGACUCCACAUAAAACACAUCCAUAUUUCUAAUAAUAGCAGUUGGUCUGAUAUUUCCAACAUGUACAAUACAUUCACCAAUUGUUCCACUAUCACCAACACGAAAUGGAAAAUUUGUAUUUUUGAUGAUUUCCAGAACAUUCAAGAAAGCUUCCUUCCAGAUUUCCAGGAGCUUUGCGACAAUGACUUUCCACUGCACAUAAAUCUAAAAAUCAUUCUCAUAUUAAGUGGUGGAGAACCAUUUCAGUUUGAUGGAAUCAGGUUUGGAGAGUGUAAAGUGAGUCCAUUGUCCAUUAAAGAGGGACAACAUCUUUUCUGCCGCUGUUCAAACAUUGAGAAAGAUGAUGAUAAUGAAGAACAAAUACACAACAUCAUCAGAUAUGCCUGUGGCUUGCCUGGACUUCUUAUUUACUUUGCAGAAAAAAUCUCCCAGUUUUAUCAUUUAUCUUUUGAUGAUAUCUACAAAAUGAUUUGUGAUGAAACCAGCAUCAAUGAUUUGCUGGACGAAUGUACAAUUAACAGACGUAAUAUUAAGCAAGAAAUGGACAAGUAUUUUUCUCAACUCUCUCACAAACAGCAAGAUGCUCUCAAAGUGCUUUCAUAUUUUCCUGGAAGAUUUGGUAUUGAGGAAGCUGUUGAAAUGACUGAUUCUUCUAGUCAACCAGCUUCCAAGAUGCAUGUUUUGAUGCCACUUGUCGAACAAGGUUUGAUCAAUUCAGAUUUAGAAUUACAGAAUUUCCAAGUACAAGAAUUAAUACGUGCAAUUACUAAACAACAGAUUGACAAUGUACACAGCAAUGAUUUGGUAAAGCUCAAAUAUACAAACAUUAUUGGGAAAAGUUUGAUGAAGGCUCAAGAUAUUUUUGAUAAAGGUUUCAUACAUGAAGCACUCGGAAUAAUGAAGAACAAUUGGGAAAAUAUUUCAUUUAUUUUGAAGAGAGGGAUUGGUGCACCCGCAGAUGGAAGGACAUAUGGAGCUUAUUAUGAGGUAAGAUUUUUUUUUUUUAACAAAUUUGUCUUUAAUCCUUUUGGGGUCAAAAAAUAAAUACCAGAUAAAUACUAUUCAAUGCUGUUGGUCCUGAUCUAUCUUCUAAAUUGGAUGAUUUGAUAUGGAAUAACCCAUAUACAUAUAUAUACAUAUACAUAGGCGCAGGAGUGGCUGUGUGGUAAGUAGCUUGCUUACCAACCACAUGGUUCUGGGUUCAGUCCCACUGCGUGGCAUCUUGGGCAAGUGUCUUCUGCUAUGGCCUCGGGUCGACCAAUGCCUUGUGAGUGAAUUUGGUAGACGGAAACUGAAAGAAGCCCGUCGUAUAUAUGUAUAUAUAUAUAUAUAUAUAUAUAUAUGUGUGUGUGUAUAUGUUUGUGUGUCUGUGUUUGUCCCCCACCAUCGCUUGACAACCGAUGCUGGUGUGUUUAUGUCCCUGUCACCUAGCGGGGUCUGAUAAGCCAUGGAGGCUGCCCCAGGCUUCAGUCCAAUCUGACAGUGUUUCUACAGCUUGAUGCCCUUCCUAACGCCAACCACUCCAUGAGUGUAAUGGGUGUUUUUUACGUGCCACCGGCACAGGGGCAAGAGGUGGCUGGCAAACAGCCACAAUCGAUUGGUGCUUUUAUGUGUCACCGACAUGGCAUCUGCCACGUUCGGAUGGUGCUUUUUACGUGUCACCGGCACAGGUUUCAUAAGAAAAUAAUCUGAAUGUGAAAGGGUUAAGGGGUAUUAGUAAAAGAAAAGGGAGCAAAAGUUAAAUAAAGUCUGAGAAGCACAGAACCUUAUCUAUAAGCCACUGUGAUACAUGUGUUGUGCGCUAUUGUUGUGUCCUAGUUGGUUCUCAUUUCUUUUUGCCUUUCAGAUAGCCACAAAAGCUUCACAAAUACUUUGGUUAUGUUACCCAGCAGAAUCACAGGAUUUUCUCUUGGCAUGUCUACAAAAUUCCAUGUUAUUUGGCAAUGAAGAAGAGAAGGCAUUGAUGAAUAUAGCAUAUGGCAUAUCUUUGACAAAUUUACCUGGUAUGAUAUAUUUAUUAGUCUAUGUCUUUAUUUGUCUGUCUGCUGUUACUUUUACAAGGAAUAUAUUGGUAGAAACUUGCAAGUUUUGACUUUCUUAUCUUCAUCAGAGUAUGAUUUACUUGGGUUCUUUUCAGCUUAUAUAGUCCCUGGCAACGUUUAUUUUUCAGAGAUAGGGCAAUAUCAAUGCUAAUUAGGUGUGGCAUAGGUAUACAGGGGAAUUAUGUGGGAAGUAUGGAGAAUAUAAGAAGAUAGGAGAAAAGUAUGUAUUUAUAGUGUGUGAAUUUAUAGAAAGGUAUGGUGCGAAGAUUUAUUUUGGUUUGAUAUAGGAAUUUUGUUAUUGUUUAGGCUUCAGUCAAGCAUGGCAGUAAAUGUUUUAAACAGAUGUGUCAAAUUCAGUUCAUGACAUUCUUUAUAAAUAAGGCAUCGAAUUUGAAAUCCUGUCUGACCUAUGCAAGCAUGGAAAAGUGGAUGGUGAAUGAUGAAGAUGAUGAUGAUGAAAGAGGGUGUAUUUCAAUGGAUAUAUGGUAAAAAAAAGGGGCUAGAAUUGUCUAAAUUAGUGUUCAUUAAAUAGUAACUGUAGACAUGAUAAUUCUACCAUUGUUGUAGUGGAGGCGCAAUGGCCCAGUGGUUAGGGCAGCGGACUCGCGGUCAUAGGAUCGCGGUUUCGAUUCCCAGACCGGGCGUUGUGAGUGUUUAUUGAGCGAAAACACCUAAAAGCUCCACGAGGCUCCGGCAGGGGAUGGUGGUGAUCCCUGCUGUACUCUUUCACCACAACUUUCUCUCACUCUUACUUCCUGUUUCUGUUGUGCCUGUAUUUCAAGGGGCCGGCCUUGUCACUCUCUGUGUCAUGCUGAAUAUCCCCGAGAACUACGUUAAGGGUGCACGUGUCUGUGGAGUGCUCAGCCACUUACACGUUAAUUUCACGAGUAGGCUGUUCCGUUGAUUCAGACCAACCGUAACCCUCAUCGUCGUAACUGACGGAGUGAGUGCUUCCACCACCAUUGUUGUAAUUGUGACUAUUUUUCUUGUGUUCUUUGCAGGUUUGGGAGGCUACAUGGAAGCUAUAUCAUACUAUGAGAAGGCUAUGAAGGUUUUGGAAACUAGAAACCUACAAUAUCGACAAAUGCUGUUAUACAAUAGCAUGGCUUACAACUACCAUAUGCAGGGCAAAUAUGUCGAAUCCUUGAAGUAGGUUAAAUCUUUGGUAACCAUAUUUCUCAUAAAAUACAACCCCAUGUGUUUUGUUGUGUCUUGGGAGGGUCAUCAAGCCAAUAAUAACACACACACUGGUUUGAUAUUGAUAUCACUUCUUUAUUAUACAUCAAUUGGAAAUUCAGCUGAGGUCUACUUUGCCUUUUAUCCUUUAGGGGUUGAUAAAAUAAGUACCAGUCCAACACUGGGGUUGAUGUAAUCAAUUUACCCCCUCCCCCCAAAUUACUGGCCUUGUGCCAAAAUUUAAAAUCAUUAUUAGUCAAUUGGUUAAGGCGGUAAGAUGGCAGAAUCAUUAACUUGUUGGAAAAAAUGCUUAAUGGCAUUUCAUCUGUCUUUGUGUUCUGAGCUCAAAUUCUGUCAAGGUUGACUUUGCCUUUAAUCAUUUAGGGGUUGAUAAAUUAAGUACCAGUUGAGUACUGGGGUUGAUGUAAUUGACUAUUCCUCUACCCCCUAAUUUCAGGCCUUGACCCUAUAAUCAUCAUCAUCAUCAUCGUUUAACGUCUGCUUUCCAUGCUAGCAUGGGUUGGACGGUUCAACUGGGGCCUGGGAAGCCAGAUGGCUGCACCAGGCUCCAAUCUUGAUCUGGCAGAGUUUCUACAGCUGGAUGCCCUUCCUAAUGCCAACCACUCCAUGAGUAUAGUGGGUGUUUUUUACGUGCCACCGGCACAGGUGCCAGGCAAGACUAGCAACGGCCAUGAUCGGUUGGUGCUUUUUACGUGCCAAAAAGGAAAAAAUAUUUCAGAAAAAUAAGCGAAAACAAAAUGGACGCCAAUGUCACAUAUCUGGCAUGUAAAAAGCACCCUUCAAACUUUGGGCCUCACAUAGGCAAUUACAAGUGACUGAGACCAAAAGCAAUAUACUGUGCUUGAGAAGAAGUGUCGAGCUGAGUGAAGUCAUGGCCAAUGCCGGUGUUUCAUAAUUGGCACCGGUGCCAGUGACAUGUAAAAAGCACCCACGACACUCUUGGAGUGGUUGGCAUUAGGAAGGGCAUCCAGCUGUAGAGACCAUGCCAAAUCAGAUUGGAACCUGGUGCAGGUGGUGGUGGUGGUGGUGGUGGUGGUGGUGGUGGUGGUGGUGGUGGUUAUAAUUAUUUAAAAGGCUAACCGGAAAUGAAAACCAGGUUACAAUAGAAAACCACUCCUUAUAGUGAGAAGGUUCUUAGCACUACCAGUCAUUGUACAAUGCUGGGAAUAUCAUAAGAGAAAUAAUCUCUCCGACAAGUGCCCCCUAUCUGGUUUUUGUGACCAAAGAGGAAAUAACCUACUCUAAAAUGCUUGCAUCUUAUAGUCUGGGUAGGUGGUGCUGCAAGCUGACUUUAAGUGUAUUUAUAACAUUAUUUCUACAGUGAGAAAUUUUCUUUGUGACAAAACAGAGUGAAUGGCUUUCUUAAGGGUUCGAGAAUGCCCCAAGCAUAUUUGAACUGGUAACAAGUUUAUAUUUGUACACAUCAUUGGAUAGCACUACCACUCUGUAAUUUGUUUAUGGUGAACAACCUAUUAGCAUUUCCAGUCAUUGUUCAAUGACAGGAAUAUCAUAAGACAGACAAUCUCUCUUAUCAGCUUGCAGCACUCCACAAUAGUGGUUUCAAAAUUUGAAGGCCAGCCGUUUUGAUUGAAGUGUGGUAUGUUGAUUCAAGUGGGACUUAUUUCAUUGACCCCUAAAGGAUGAAAGGAAAAUUGACUAUUCCUCUACCCCCUAAUUUCAGGCCUUGUGCCUAUAAUCAUCAUCAUCAUCGUUAAAUUCAAACUGUGCCCUGCAAAGCCAUGCGCUGUUUAUCUUGAUAUGAGAUCGCCAUGUCAUAACACUUCCAAUCAGUUAAGAUCAGAAGCCAUGAGGGUAUUGGUACUGUAUCAGGGCAUUAUUAUUAUUAUUAUUAUUAUUAUUAUUAUUAUUAUUAUUAUUAUACCCUUUCAUCCUUUCGGGGUCGAUAAAUUAAGUACCAGUUGCAUACUGGGGUUGAUCUAAUUGACUGGCCCCCUCCCUGAAAUUUGAACCCAGAAUCUAAAGAAAAGUGAAAUGCUUCUAAGUUUUUGUUUUUUUUAUCAUAAUAAUAAUAAUAAUAAUUACAAGAGCUCUCAGAGAGUGCAAACCUCUGCCCAGGUAACACCAGUGUCCUCUUAAUGAUUAGCCAGAGGUGAUUUUUAAAAUGAGAAUAUCUGAAAUAAACUUGACUGCUCUCACAAAUGAGAAUACUUAAAAUGAACCUGACUAUUCUCAAAAAUAAUCCAGAAUCCUUGUCAGGUACCUGAUCGAUCCCAUUGGUAGUCAUGGAAUGUGAAGGUGGCUGUAGAAAACUUAGUAACAGUAAUGAAUAGUUUAUCCGUAUCUAAUACAAGCCAAAGUUAACAAGUUCACCAUUCAAAAUAGUUUCAAUAGUGCAAGGAAUUUUUAAAUGAAUAGCAUGAGAUCUUUUGGUUUUCUCUUCUCUUAAAUUCCAGCCUUCCUUUAGUUUUCCUGUUGUUUUAGAUUGAUGUAUAGAUGUAUGUCUAUAUGUAACUAUACUGUAAAGUGUUAAUAUGUAUGUAUAAUAUAUAAUAUCUCUCUAUAUAUAAAUGGCAAAAUGUCUGUGUGUGUGUCCUUUAUACAAAUCCACAAUUUUUCAUUUAGAGAGCUCGCACUUUCUAUGGUCAUUCAAAACCAUCCAAGGGUGGUCGUGCACAUCUUUACAUUUCCCCAGUCACCCCACAAAUCUCUCUAUAUAUAAACUGCAAAAUGUCUGUCUGUAUGUGUGUCCUUUAUACAAAUCCACAAUUUUUCAGUUAGAGGUCUCGCACUUUCUAUGGUCAUUCAAAACCGUCCAAGGGUGGUCGUGCACAUCUUUACAUUUCCCCAGUCACCCUGCAAAGCCAUUAAAAAAAUCAAUAGAAGUGACUUUUUUUGUGAAUUUUCUAUCCAAAACCUAAUCAAAAUGCCUGAAACUUGAUACGCCAAUUUAAUGCCAGCUAGCUGUAUGUGAUUGGUCGGAAAUUUGGACAGUACCCGCGUGUAUGUGCACACACACACACAGCUGUAUAUGCAUGCCCUAGCACUAUGACCCGGCGUUGCUGGGUCAUAGUGCUAGUAUAUAUUAUAAAACUAUGUUAGUGUUAGGAAAUGUGAAAAGUCCAACAGGAAUUGGUGUUUCCUAGGGCUAAACAACGGUAGCAUUCUUCCCUUUUAUGGGACUGUCACAUUAAGUAGACAACAUGCUAUCAUUUUAUGUUAGUGUUAUUUAAUUUCUGAAUGGUUUUUGCUGUCGUUUCUUUAUGUUGUUUGAUUUCUUUAUCCAUCAGUUUCUAUUAAGAUAUCGAGAUACCCUCUCUCUCUCUCUUUUACUUGUUUCAGUCAUUUGACUGCGGCCAUGCUGGAGCACCGCCUUUAGUCGAGCAACUUGGUACCCGGGACUUAUUCUUUUGUAAGCCCAGUACUUAUUCUAUCGGUCUCUUUUGCCGAACCGCUAAGUAACGGGGACGUAAACAUACCAGCAUCGGUUGUCAAGCAAUGCUAGGGGGACAAACACAGACACACAAACAUACACAUGCAUAUAUAUAUAUAUAUAUAUAUAUAUAUAUAUAUAUAUAACGACGGGCUUCUUUCAGUUUCCGUCUACCAAAUCCACUCACAAGGCUUUGGUCGGCCCGAGGCUAUAGUAGAAGACACUUGCCCAAGGUGCGACGCAGUGGAACUGAA